UACGUAGGAUGCAAGCGUUAUCCGGAAUGAUUGGGCGUAAAGCGUCCGCAGGUGGCUGUGUAAGUCUGCUGUUAAAGAGUCUAGCUCAACUAGAUAAAGGCAGUGGAAACUACACGGCUAGAGUGCGUUCGGGGCAGAGGGAAUUCCUGGUGUAGCGGUGAAAUGCGUAGAGAUCAGGAAGAACACCGGUGGCGAAGGCGCUCUGCUAGGCCGCAACUGACACUGAGGGACGAAAGCUAGGGGAGCGAAUGGG
rnacentral:rRNA from 1 species